UUUAACAAAAACAUGUCCUUUUGGGUUAAAUUUGAGGUCGGGCCUGCCCACUGACGUUAGUUGAAGGGCCGCGGUAUUUUGACCGUGCAAAGGUAGCAUAAUCAUUAGUCUUUUAAUUGAAGGCUGGAAUGAAUGGUUUGACGAAAUAUUAACUGUCUCUUUAUGAUAAGUAGAAUUUAACUUCUAAGUCAAAAGGCUUAGAUGAAUAUAAAAGACGAGAAGACCCUAUAGAUCUUUAUAUAAUUGUAUAUGUGUUAAUUUGGUUGUAUUGAUUGUAGAUAUAUUAUUGUAUUUUGUUGGGGUGACAUGAAGAUAAAAAUAACUCUUUAUAAUGGAAACAUUGGUUUAUGGAUGGUUGAUCCGUUAUUAACGAUUAUAAGAUAAAGUUACCUUAGGGAUAACAGCGUAAUUUUUUUUGAGAGUUCUUAUCGACAAGAAAGAUUGCGACCUCGA
rnacentral:rRNA from 1 species